GUGGGGUAACGGCCUACCAAGUCGACGAUCAGUAGCCGGGUUGAGAGACUGACCGGCCACAUUGGGACUGAGAUACGGCCCAGACUCCUACGGGAGGCAGCAGUGGGGAAUAUUGGGCAAUGGGGGAAACCCUGACCCAGCAACGCCGCGUGAAGGAAGAAGGCCUUCGGGUUGUAAACUUCUUUUACCAGGGACGAAGAAAGUGACGGUACCUGGAGAAAAAGCUCCGGCUAACUAC
rnacentral:rRNA from 1 species